AUUGAACGCUGGCGGCAUGCCUUACACAUGCAAGUCGAACGGCAGCACGGGGGCAACCCUGGUGGCGAGUGGCGAACGGGUGAGUAAUACAUCGGAACGUGCCCUGAAGUGGAGGAUAACGUAGCGAAAGUUACGCUAAUACCGCAUAUUCUGUGAGCAGGAAAGCAGGGGAUCGCAAGACCUUGCGCUUUAGGAGCGGCCGAUGUCGGAUUAGCUAGUUGGUGGGGUAAAAGCUCACCAAGGCGACGAUCCGUAGCGGGUCUGAGAGGAUGAUCCGCCACACUGGGACUGAGACACGGCCCAGACUCCUACGGGAGGCGGCAGUGGGGAAUUUUGGACAAUGGGCGCAAGCCUGAUCCAGCCAUGCCGCGUGAGUGAAGAAGGCCUUCGGGUUGUAAAGCUCUUUCGGCCGGGAAGAAAUCGCACGGGAUAAUACCCUGUGUGGAUGACGGUACCGGAAUAAGAAGCACUGGCUAACUACGUGCCAGCCGCCGCCGUAA
rnacentral:rRNA from 1 species